rnacentral:rRNA from 1 species
UGCGAAGGGGGCUAGCGUUGUUCGGAAUUACUGGGCGUAAAGGGCGCGUAGGCGGCGUGUCAAGUCAGGCGUGAAAGCCCCGGGCUCAACCUGGGAACCGCGCUUGAGACUGGCAUGCUCGAGUUCGGGAGAGGAUGGUGGAAUUCCCAGUGUAGAGGUGAAAUUCGUAGAUAUUCGCAAGAACACCAGUGGCGAAGGCGGCUCACUGGCCCGAUACUGACGCUGAGGCACGAAAGCGUGGGGAGCAAACAGG